UUUGAGAACAGGAUUUCUCAGUGUGCAGGAAGACAGUAUCAACCAUGGAGCUAUUCUACUUUUCGCCUGCAGUGCGUCCAUUUUCUGGUUACAGCUGGCUUUCUCUGAGUCGUUCUUUUUAUGAGCCCGUUUUUACUUUUUUUUUUUGGCUAAAUAAAUGUAACGAAGGACUGAGCCUCGCAAACUACACCCAACUAGAGCCUUGGUGUUUAUCUGCUUUAUCAGGCACCCUCUAGAUUCGGGUCGGGUCCCCAGGUCCAAGGCCCGAGGCCCUUUUCAACACCUCGCUUUCUCAGGACCUCUUGACACGUGAGUUGGCAGGUCGGCUCUUCUCACAUCCUAUUGGCUAAAGCCCGCGCCUCUCACCGCGAGGGGGACGGGUCACAGAACCUCUGGGCGCGGGGGGAUGACGUCACGUCGGCGACGGGGCUUCGGUUGAAAACUGGCCGACCCUGCUGGCUGGAAGACCGCGUAGCUGGGACGGCGCUACGAUGACCAUUUGCCAGUUUUUCCUUCAAGGCCGGUGCCGCUUCGGAGACCGCUGCUGGAACGAGCACCCUGGCACCCGGGGCGCGGGCCUGGCCCGGCAGCCGCCACCACAGCAGCAGCCGCCGCCCUCAGGAAGCAACAGGCGCGGGUGGAAUGCCACCAGCCAGAGGUACUCCAAUGUCAUCCAGCCAUCCAGCUUUUCCAAGUCUACGCCAUGGGGUGGCAGCAGAGAUCAAGACAAACCAGUAUUCGGCUCCUUUGACUCUGGCGCUUCCACCAGCAGAGGCUUUGGAUCGUCUCAAAACCCUUUUGCAUCACCUGUCUCUGAUGAGCAGAAAGAUGAAAAAAAACUUCUGGAAGGAAUUGUUAAAGAUGUAGAGAUUUGGGAAUCAUCGGGGCAGUGGAUGUUUUCUGUUUACUCACCAGUGAAAAAGAAACCUAACAUCUCAGGUUUCACAGACAUUUCACCAGAAGAGUUGAGGCUUGAAUACCAUAACUUCUUAACCAGCAAUAACUUACAGAGCUAUCUAAAUUCUGUUCAACAGCUAGUAAGUCUAUGGAGGAAUAGGAUAAAUGAACUGAAAAAUCUAAAUAUGUCAACCAAAGGAACUCUGCUCUCUGAUGUCAAGGAUGGAGCCAGUCAAGCAGCGCCUGCAUUUGGAUUUGGAAGCAAGCAAGCAGGGACGUUUGGAUCAUCAGGUUUUCCAGUGGAUAACAGCAGCAGCAAUAAUGUUCAGAACUUUAGUUUUAAAACAAGCUCUGGAUUUGCCACUGCCUCUUCUGGAAGCACGCCCGUGUUUGGAAAUCACCCAGCCUUUGGGACCGGGCCCUCUGCUGGUUCUGCCGUCGCUUCCUCCACUCCAGCCUUUGGAUUUGGGAAACCUGAAGCCACAUCUGCUGCUUCAUUUUCGUUCAAGAGCCCUGACACUUCUGGUUUUGGAUCACCUGGGUUUUCAGGGUUUCCAUCUUCCUUAGCAGUGAGUCCUUUCGGCCCUGCAAUGGCCCCUGCCUUCGGAAGUGGCGGAUCUGUGGCUGGUUUUGGUAGCCCUGGCUCACAGUCUCAGAAUUUAUUUGCCAAACCUUCUAAUGACACAUUUGGAGGUAGCAGCCUAUCAGCCUCCCUCCCGGUCUCUGCCACAAAUAAUGUACUGUUCACCCCCAGGGAUCAGCUGACAAAAGAGGAGCUGGAACAGUUUCAGUCGCAGAGAUUUACUCUGGGGAAAAUCCCACUGAAGCCACCACCCGUGGAGCUCCUGACCAUAUAAAGGGCGGUGUCCAAUACAGAUCGGCUUUAGCCAGGCGUGUGGCGUAUGCCGGUAGUUUGGGAGGCUGAGAGAAGAAAUGCCACAAAUUCAGGGCCAGCUUGGACUGCACAGAGUGUGAGCUGCCAUACCACUCCCCACCAUGAUAGCCUGAAAACUGAAGCUGUGAGCCAGCCAGCCUUGCCUUAAGCUGCUGAAGCUGACACCUCACCACGGCACCGGAUGAGGACCACUGUAGCCAGCCCUACCUGGAUGCUGCCCUGGGCGCAUCAGAGCUAGAGAAGAGCACUGUCGGAAGAGCACUGUGGACAGCAUUGCCAACACCCUGAGGUUGCCUCUCUGCUCUGCGAGCAGUUUCGCAGUGUUUGAUACUACUGGACCUACAAGCCCAGCACCGGCCCAGAGGUGGAUUUCACAAGACAGGCCAGGGAGGGGGAUCUUUAUAGGGAGAAAUACCACCUUAGGUGGCUCGGUGAUAGGGAGAAUGGCGGCAGGGCUUGACUUCGGAACCCCAGCUUUCUCAGUGGCCAUGGAGCUUCUAACUAUCCAAAGCUGAGACCCAAAUAAGCUGCCACAGGGAGAGGAAAACUCAGGAUGGGGAGAAAGGCCACCGGCAUGACUCUGCCAUCUCUGGCCUCAUGUACUUCUUUGUCCAGGGUAGAGACCACAGCCAUCAAUACCUGUUCUUUAUCACCUCUGAGACUUUAACUCUGGCUCCGCUUCCUCCAAACCUAGCCCACCUGCAACCCUCUUGACACAAAGUUCCCCCCACAGUCUUGACACCACCUCCUGUUCCAAACACAGUGCUCACCCGGCCCCACCGUCUCCUGUGUGAGAAAUAUCCCCAGAUCCAAACUCGCAUGCUGCUAAUACCUGUCAGCAGUAGUCCCUCUUUCCACGCCUUCCACAGAGUGUUCACUCAGGCUGCAGAAUCUCCUUCCAGGAAGAGACCAGUGCCGACCUCACUGUCCAGAGUGUACCCUCAUUCUGCUUCUUUCGGGGCUACUCUUCUCUUAAACACAGUGGAACCACCCCCAGAGCUGGUGUCGCUCCACCCGCAGCGUGUCCACAGGAGCCCUGCCGCCAACAGUCCCCUCUGCAGCCUGGGCAGCAGCUGGCCACUUGGGACACAGAGGUGGGGCUGCUUUUCCCAGAACUCCGGUGUCGGGGACACAGCGAUCAGGGUUUUCACGCCUUCACAUGGAGUCACUGGUGUUUUUAACUUUUUUAUCUACCUGUAUUUAGGUAUCUCACACAUGUACAUACAUGUAUUUGCACCACAUAU